GACAGAGGGUGCAAACGUUGUUCGGAUUUACUGGGCGUAAAGCGCGUGUAGGCGGCUUUGCAAGUCGGAUGUGAAAUCCCACGGCUCAACCGUGGAAGUGCAUCCGAAACUGCAUCGCUCGAGUCUCGGAGAGGAAGGUGGAAUGCUUGGUGUAGAGGUGAAAUUCGUAGAUAUCGGGAGGAACACCGGUGGCGAAGGCGGCGACCUGGGUAGAUACUGACGCUGAGGUGCGAAAGCGUGGGGAGCAAACAGG
rnacentral:rRNA from 1 species